UCUUUAUCCAGAGUGGCAGAGGGACAGGCCCGAUGAAGCCACAGCAACCGAUCCGCCAGCGCGGAUGACAGGUGCUAAUUCCUGCUCCGGGAAACCGGGGGAAGAUGGGGA
rnacentral:ncRNA from 2 species